rnacentral:rRNA from 1 species
UACGUAGGGUGCAAGCGUUGUCCGGGAUUAUUGGGCGUAAAGAGCUCGUAGGCGGUCUGUUGCGUCGGCUGUGAAAACCCGGGGCUCAACUCCGGGCCUGCAGCCGAUACGGGCAGACUAGAGUUCGGCAGGGGAGACUGGAAUUCCUGGUGUAGCGGUGAAAUGCGCAGAUAUCAGGAGGAACACCGGUGGCGAAGGCGGGUCUCUGGGCCGAUACUGACGCUGAGGAGCGAAAGCGUGGGGAGCGAACAGG